rnacentral:rRNA from 1 species
CUUAGAGCACUAAAUAUAGAAGGGCCCUUAACCGGGUACCGCCUAUAAUUAAACUCCGAAUACCAUUGUCGUAUUUUCUUGUAGUCAGUCUAUGGGGGAUAAGCUCCAUGGACGUGAGGGAAACAGCCCAGACUAUCGGCUAAGGUCCCUAAAUAGUAUUAAGUGUAGAAGGAAGUUGGAGCACGAAGACAGCUAGAAGGUUGGCUUAGCAGCAGUCCAUCCUUUAAAGAGUGCGUAACAGCUCACUAGUCGAUUAGUGUUCCAGCACCGAGAAUGUAUGGGGGCUCAAAUACUAUACCGAAGCCAUAGAUUAGUUAAAUGGCAACAUUUAAUUAGUGGUAGGGGAGCGUAGUAAGGCGAAAAAUUAAAGAAGUUAAACCGUGAGGAUUAAUGGAGCCUUUACUAGCGAGAAUGCCGGCAUGAGUAACGAAAGAAGGUGUGAAUCCUUCUAGCCGUAAGACCAAGGUUUCCAGGGUCAAGGUCGUCUACCCUGGGUUAGUCGGGACCUAAGGCGAGGCCGCAAGGCGUAGUCGAUGGACAACAGGUUAAUAUUCCUGUACUACUGUAAUUACUGAUGGAGCGACGGAGUCAGUUAGGAUAAACCAUUAAUUGAUUGAUGGUCUAACUGCUUAGAGGGAACGGGAUUAAAUCACCGUUCAUUACCUUGAAGCAGGAUGGGUAGGGCAACCGAAUUAUCUGAUACUUUGCUUCCAAGAAAAACUCCUAGGGUUAAUAAUUAUGGACCCGUACCGAGAACGAACACACGUGGUCGAGGAGAGUAUCCUCAGGCUAGCGAGAAAACUAUAGUUAAGGAACUCGGCAAAUUAGCCCCGUAACUUCGGGAGAAGGGGUGCCUAGGGUAAUAUCUAGGUCGCAGUGAAGAGGCACCGGCAACUGUUUAUCAAAAACACAGCUCUCUGCUAACUCGUAAGAGGAUGUAUAGGGGGUGACGCCUGCCCAGUGCUGGUAAGUUAAGAGGAGAGGUUAGCCUUCGGGUGAAGCUUUGAAUUGAAGCUCCAGUGAACGGCGGCUGUAACUAUAACGGUCCAAAGGUAGCGAAAUUCCUUGUCAGGUAAGUUCUGACCCGCACGAAAGGCGUAAUGAUCGGUGCACUGUCUCAACUAUAGACUCGGUGAAAUUUUAGUACCGGUGAAGAUGCCGGUUACCCACAAUUAGACGGAAAGACCCCGUGGAGCUUUACUAUAGCCUGAUAUUGAACUUUCCUCUUGUCUGUGCAAUGGUAGGUGGGAGGCAACUCGGACUUCGGUUCGGGAAGCCCAAUGUGAGAGACCACCCGGAUGAGCGGAAAAUUCUAACUUGUUGGUUUACACCCAAAAGGACAGUGUUUGGUGGGUAGUUUGACUGGGGCGGUCGCCUCCUAACG